ACGCCCGCUCAAGUAAACGUAAAGGUAAUGGACGGGGCCCGCACAAGCGGAGGAGCAUGUGGUUUAAUUCGAUGAUACGCGAGGAACCUUACCUGGGCUCGAACGUAAGAUGACUGUAGGUGAAAGCUUACAUCUCUUCGGAGCAUUUUACGAGGUGCUGCAUGGUUGUCGUCAGCUCGUGCCGUGAGGUGUCGGGUUAAGUCCCAUAACGAGCGCAACCCUACCUUUAGUUGCCAUCAGGUAAUGCUGGGGACUCUAAAGGAACUGCCUACGCAAGUAGUGAGGAAGGCGGGGAUGACGUCAAAUCAGCACGGCCCUUACGUCCAGGGCUACACACGUGCUACAAUGGCCGAUACAGAGAGCAGCUACCUGGUGACAGGAUGCAAAUCUCCAAAGUCGGUCUCAGUUCGGAUCGGGGUCUGCAACCCGACUCCGUGAAGUUGGAUUCGCUAGUAAUCACGCAUCAGCCAUGGCGCGGUGAAUACGUUCCCGGGCCUU
rnacentral:rRNA from 1 species